rnacentral:rRNA from 1 species
UACGUAGGGCGCAAGCGUUGUCCGGAAUUAUUGGGCGUAAAGAGCUCGUAGGCGGUUUGUCGCGUCUGUCGUGAAAGCUUGGGGCUUAACCCCAAGUCUGCGGUGGAUACGGGCAGACUAGAGGCAGGUAGGGGAGAACGGAAUUCCCGGUGUAGCGGUGAAAUGCGCAGAUAUCGGGAGGAACACCGGUGGCGAAGGCGGUUCUCUGGGCCUGUACUGACGCUGAGGAGCGAAAGCGUGGGGAGCGGACAGG